GAUGAACGCUGGCGGCGUGCCUAAUACAUGCAAGUCGAGCGAACGGACGAGAAGCUUGCUUCUCUGAUGUUAGCGGCGGACGGGUGAGUAACACGUGGAUAACCUACCUAUAAGACUGGGAUAACUUCGGGAAACCGGAGCUAAUACCGGAUAAUAUUUUGAACCGCAUGGUUCAAAAGUGAAAGACGGUCUUGCUGUCACUUAUAGAUGGAUCUGCGCUGCAUUAGCUAGUUGGUAAGGUAACGGCUUACCAAGGCAACGAUGCAUAGCCGACCUGAGAGGGUGAUCGGCCACACUGGAACUGAGUCACGGUCCAGACUCCUACGGGAGGCAGCAGUAGGGAAUCUUCCGCAAUGGGCGAAAGCCUGACGGAGCAACGCCGCGUGAGUGAUGAAGGUCUUCGGAUCGUAAAACUCUGUUAUUAGGGAAGAACAUAUGUGUAAGUAACUGUGCACAUCUUGACGGUACCUAAUCAGAAAGCCACGGCUAACUACGUG
rnacentral:rRNA from 1 species